AGGGCGCACGGGGGAUGCCUAGGCUCUCAGAGGCGAAGAAGGACGUGCCAAGCUGCGAAAAGCCGCGGGGAUCGGCUGAGGCGAAAUGAUCCGCGGAUGUCCGAAUGGGGCAACCCAGUCCUUUAGGGACUAUGUCGUAAGACAGGCGAACGUGGGGAACUGAAACAUCUAAGUACCCACAGGAGGAGAAAACAACAGUGAUUCCGAAAGUAGUGGCGAGCGAACUCGGAUUAGCCCAAACCCAGGCUGUUUCGGCAGGCUGGGGGUAGUAGGACCUGCAUGAUUGCAAACAAGGAGACGGGAACGGCAUGGGAAGGCCGACCGCAGGGGGUGAGAGUCCCGUACCGGAAUUUUUGUUUGUGAGGCGGGUAUCCUGAGUAGGCCGGGACAGGAGAAAUCCCGGUUGAAUCUGCCGGCACCAUCCGGUAAGGCUAAAUACUCCUGAGAGACCGAUAGUGAACGAGUACCGUGAGGGAAAGGUGAAAAGUACCCUGAAUAAGGGGGUGAAAUAGAACCUGAAACCGUGCGCUUACAAGCGGUCGGAGUCCGCCUCAGGCGGAUGACGGCGUGCCUUUUGCAUAAUGAGCCUACGAGUUGCACCUCUUUGGCGAGGUUAAUUCCGUUGACGGGAGCAGCCGGAGCGAAAGCGAGUCUGAAAGGGCGUAUAGUCAGAGGGGGCAGACGCGAAACUUAGUGAUCUACCCAUGGCCAGGCUGAAGUUGUGGUAACACACAAUGGAGGGCCGCACCGAUAAGCGUUGAAAAGCUUCCGGAUGAGCUGUGGGUAGGGGUGAAAGGCCAAUCAAACUGAGAAAUAGCUCGUACUCCCCGAAAUGUUUUUAGGAACAGCGUCGUGGAUUGUAUGAUGGAGGUAGAGCUACCGAUAGGACUAGGGGGAGUCACAUCCUACCAAAUCCUGACGAACUCCGAAUGCCAUCAUACAGAAACGGCAGUGAGGGCUGGGGUGCUAAGGUCCCGGUCCGAGAGGGAAAGAACCCGGACCUACCGCUAAGGUCCCGAAAUUUAGGUUAAGUUGAACAAAGGUGGUCCAGUUGCAGAGACAGCCAGGAGGUUAGCUUGGAAGCAGCUAUUCCUUUAAAGAGUGCGUAACAGCUCACUGGUCGAGCGACAGGGCGUCGAUAAUAAUCGGGCAUCAAACCUAAUACCGAAGCGUAGGAUUGUCCGCCUCAGGCGGACAGUGGUAGGGGAGCAUUCCAACGGCGGUGAAUGCCCCGCGUAAGCGGGACUGGAGCUUUUGGAAAAGCAAAUGUAGGCAUAAGUAACGAUAAUGGGGGCGAGAAACCCCCACACCGUAAGACCCAGGUUUCCUGAUCAACGCUAAUCGGAUCAGGGUCAGUCGGGUCCUAAGGCGAACCCGAGAGGGGCAGCCGAUGGCAAACGGGUUAAUAUUCCCGUACUAAACAUGCAGGUGAUGGAGUGACGGAGUGGUGAAAGGCCCGCCCGGUGACGGAAUACCGGGUUGAAGGGAGUAGGUAUUGGACCCAUAGUCAAAUGCGUGGGUUUAGCCGAACCUGACAGUACCGAGCGUCCUUGGACAAUCGGAUAGUGGCCCUAAAAGCUUCCAAGAAAAACUUCUGGCGUUAAGCGCAUGUUUACCCGUACCGCAAACCGACACAGGUGGUCGAGGAGAGUAUCCUAAGGUGCUCGAGUGAAUCAUGGCUAAGGAACUCGGCAAAAUGGCCCUGUAACUUCGGGAGAAGGGGCGCUCCGAGCGAUCGGAGCCGCAGUGAAGAGGCCCAGGCGACUGUUUAACAAAAACACAUGGCUUUGCGAAGUUGAAAGACUAGGUAUAAGGCCUGACACCUGCCCGGUGCCGGAAGGUUAAGAGGGGAUGUUAUUCCCGAGUAAUCGGGAAGACGCAGGUAGCGAAAUUCCUUGUCGGGUAAGUUCCGACCUGCACGAAUGGUGUAACGAUCUGGGCACUGUCUCAGCCAUGAGCUCGGUGAAAUUGUAGUCGCGGUGAAGAUGCCGCGUACCCGCAACGGGACGGAAAGACCCCAUGAACCUUUACUGCAGCUUAGCAUUGGUACUGGGCAAACGAUGUGUAGGAUAGGUGGGAGACUGUGAAGCGGCGUCGCCAGGCGUUGUGGAGUCACCGUUGAAAUACCACCCUUUGUUUGUCUGGUAUCUAAUCCGCCGUGGCGGAGACAUUGCUUGGUGGGUAGUUUGACUGGGGUGGUCGCCUCCAAAAGGAUAACGGAGGCUUCCAAAGGUUCCCUCAGCACGCUUGGUAACCGUGCGUGGAGUGCAAUAGCAUAAGGGAGCUUGACUGUAAGGCCGACAAGCCGAGCAGGGUGGAAACACGGGUAUAGUGAUCCGGCGGUACUGUAUGGAAGGGCCGUCGCUCAAAGGAUAAAAGGUACUCUGGGGAUAACAGGCUGAUCUCCCCCAAGAGCUCAUAUCGACGGGGAGGUUUGGCACCUCGAUGUCGGCUCGUCACAUCCUGGGGCUGGAGAAGGUCCCAAGGGUUGGGCUGUUCGCCCAUUAAAGUGGCACGCGAGCUGGGUUCAGAACGUCGUGAGACAGUUCGGUCCCUAUCUGUUGCGGGCGUGGGAAGUUUGCGAGGACCUGACCUUAGUACGAGAGGACCGGGUUGGACUGACCGCUGGUGUACCGGUUGUGGUGCCAACUGCACUGCCGGGUAGCUACGUCGGGAAGAGAUAAGCGCUGAAAGCAUCUAAGUGCGAAACUCCCCUCAAGAUGAGACUUCCGUAUAGGGCCCUCAGAGACGAUGAGGUUGA
rnacentral:rRNA from 1 species